UGAUUGACGACGUGGCUAUCA
ensembl:piRNA 21ur-3170 ncRNA